ACAUUCCUUCGGGGUAAGGUGAAUAUCCUAAUCGGUGGUUAUAGCCCACGAGCUUAAAUAGCAUGAUUUGGUGUAAUUCCAAAGCCGACCGUAUAGUCGGGAUGAAAGAAGGAAAAU
rnacentral:ncRNA from 2 species